rnacentral:rRNA from 1 species
GGCGUGCCUCAUACAUGCAAGUCGAACGAGAAAGUGAUUUUCGAAUCGCGAGUAAAGUGGCGAACGGGUGAGUAACGCGUGGGUAAUCUGCCCUCGAGUGGGGAAUAACAUUCCUAACGGGAUGCUAAUACCGCAUAACACCAUCGUGUCGCAUGGUACGGUGGUCAAAGGUGGCCUCUACUUGUAAGCUAUCGCUUGAGGAUGAGCCCGCGUUUCAUUAGCUUGUUGGUGAGGUAACGGCUCACCAAGGCAUCGAUGAAUAGCCGGCCUGAGAGGGUGUCCGGCCACACUGGGACUGAGAUACGGCCCAGACUCCUACGGGAGGCAGCAGUAGGGAAUUUUACGCAAUGGGGGAAACCCUGACGCAGCAACGCCGCGUGGGUGAUGAAGCUCCUUGGAGUGUAAAACCCUGUCAGGAGGGAAGAAGCUAUCAUCGGGAUAACACCUCGAUGAUGUGUCGGUACCUCCAGAGGAAGCUCCGGCUAACUCCGUG